CGAGCGGGCAGAAAUGCGUCCGAGACAAAGUGCCUGACGUGUGCACGCACUGCCUCAAGGAAUAUUUUGUCGUCAUUGUGUUCUUUUAAGCAAUGACAAUAGUUAUAACCGUUGACGCACUGCGCGGUUACAGAGAGAGUGGCAAGUAAUGUCAUCAAGUCCGGCCACCAAGAAAUGGCUGCACAAAACAAGUGCCGCUUCUUAUUCAUCCAUCAAAAAAGGUUGCUUCAAGUCAUCCACCCAAGGAGACAAUUUACCGUCACGUCGAGCAAGUGGACUUCAUCGUCAGCGUUAUACAAGGAGUGUCACUCGGAAAGGUACAGUAACACUAUCUAUAGAACGCACUCACCGGAGAGCGUGAUUACAGUCGCAGUUGCAGUGUUCAAGCAGCAAUCCGUGUGUGUGAGUUUGUAGCCACCAGAGUGCAGCCUUACCAAUAAAACAGUACUCUGUACAGGUUAUGGAAUCGAAGUUUUUUAUGACCUCCUUGCUCGGCAUUCAUUCUAAAGCCAAUUUUUUGGUACUUGGAACGUUCAAAAGUACCUCCACCUAUAGA